GGAGAAGCUUAGAUAUUUUCAAGGCUGCUGACGAGUCUACUGUUGUCAGAUGCCUCAGGCGCUGAUGCCACAGGCGGAAGUCAUCUGCUAUAGAAGCUCGGAUGGAGACUUUCCGUUGGUGAAGUCCGAUAGGAGUCCGAUUGCUAGAGAAGUCCGUCUGGGAUUUGCCUGAUGUGGAAGCUCGUCUGAAGAUUAUCCAUCGAAGAAGUCUGGUUUCAUGAAGAAUCUGGCGGAGGGUCGGCCGGUGGCAGACUUCGGAUGGCGUUGGGGAGGUUCGACAGAUACCGGAGGCAAUCGAUCGUUGU
rnacentral:lncRNA from 1 species